AUUGAACGCUGGCGGCAGGCCUAACACAUGCAAGUCGAGCGGAUCGGCGGACGGGGAAGUAAUACCAAUGAAUCUGCCUGGUAGUGGGGGAGAACGUCCGGUAACGGGAGCUAAUACCGCAUACUCUCACCUGAGCCUGGGUGGGAUUAGCUAGUUGGGGAGGUAAAGGCCUACCAAGGCGACGAUCCGAAACUGUUCUGAGAGGAUGAACAGUCACACUGGAACUGAGACACGGUCCAGACGCCUACGGGAGGCAGCAGUGGGGAAUAUUGGGCAAUGGGGGAAAGCCUGAUGCAGCCAUGCCGCGUGAGUGAAGAAGGUCUUCGGAUUGUAAAGCGCUUUAAGUAGGGAGGCGGUAACUAAAGAAUAAGCACCGGCUAACUUCGUGCCAGCCGCCGCGGUAAUUA
rnacentral:rRNA from 1 species